rfam:Candidatus Giovannonibacteria bacterium RIFCSPLOWO2_01_FTLL_45_34 rifcsplowo2_01_scaffold_9293, whole genome shotgun sequence.
GGAGGGUUGGCUGAGCGGUCUAAGGCGCCGGUCUCGAAAACCGGUUGGGGAGCAAUCCCCUCGCAGGUUCAAAUCCUGCACCCUCCG